CCACGCUUUCGCUCCUCAGCGUCAGUUACGGCCCAGAGAACUGCCUUCGCCAUCGGUGUUCCUCCUGAUAUCUGCGCAUUCCACCGCUACACCAGGAAUUCCAUUCUCCCCUACCGCACUCUAGUCUGCCCGUACCCACUGCAGGCCCGAGGUUGAGCCUCGGGUUUUCACAGCAGACGCGACAGACCGCCUACGAGCUCUUUACGCCCAAUAAUUCCGGACAACGCUCGCACCCUACGUAUUACCGCGGCUGCUGGCACGUAGUUAGCCGGUGCUUUUUCUGCAGGUACCGUCACUUUCGCUUCUUCCCUACUAAAAGAGGUUUACAACCCGAAGGCCGUCAUCCCUCACGCGGCGUUGCUGCAUCAGGCUUGCGCCCAUUGUGCAAUAUUCCCCACUGCUGCCUCCCGUAGGAGUCUGGGCCGUGUCUCAGUCCCAGUGUGGCCGGUCACCCUCUCAGGCCGGCUACCCGUCGUCGGCUUGGUGAGCCGUUACCUCACCAACUACCUGAUAGGCCGCGAGUCCAUCCUCAACCGAAGUUCUUUCCACGUACAGGAGAUGCCUCCGUACGUCGUAUCCGGUAUUAGCUUCCGUUUCCGGAGGUUAUCCCAGAGUCAAGGGCAGGUUACUCACGUGUUACUCACCCGUUCGCCACUAAUUCCCUAGAGCAAGCUCCAGGUUCAUCGUUCGACUUGCAUGUGUUAAGCACGCCGCCAGCGUUCGUCCUGAGCCAUGAUAAA
rnacentral:rRNA from 1 species